rnacentral:rRNA from 1 species
UAAGGAAUAUUGGUCAAUGGAGGGAACUCUGAACCAGCCAUGCCGCGUGAAGGAUGACGGCCCUCUGGGUUGUAAACUUCUUUUGGAUGGGGCGAAAAAACGGGAUUUAUCCUGGACUGACGGUACCAUCAGAAUAAGCACCGGCUAACUCCGUGCCAGCAGCCGCGGUAAUACGGAGGGUGCAAGCGUUAUCCGGAAUCACUGGGUUUAAAGGGUGCGUAGGCGGUUGUAAUAAGUCAGGGGUGAAAGCACGCAGCUUAACUGUGUAAUUGCCUUUGAUACUGUACGGCUUGAAUAGGGUUGAGGUUGGCGGAAUGUGACAUGUAGCGGUGAAAUGCAUAGAUAUGUCAAUGAACACCGAUUGCGAAGGCAGCUGACUGGGCCUANAUUGACGCUGAGGCA